ensembl:lncRNA
CUAGUCCUCUCUGCUCUUAUUGAUUGGUUGGACCAAUCAACUGACCCCAUUCUGGCCAAUGAGAUAAAAGGGCUGCUCUGGAACGGGUUUUCUCUUUUGUCAUCCUGCUGCUGCUGCUGCUGCUGCUGCUGCUGCUAAGUCGCUUCAGUUGUGUCCGUCUCUCACCAGGCUCCCUCGUCCCUGGCAUUCUCCAGGCAAGAACACUGGAGUGGGUUGCCAUUUCCUUCUCCAAUGCGUGAAAGUGAAAAGUGAAAGUGAAGUCGCUCAGUUGUGUCCGACUCUUCGCGACCCCAUGGACGGCAGCCUACCAGGCUUCUCCGUCCAUGGGAUUUUCCAGGCAAGAGUACUGGAGUGGGUCGCCAGUGCCUUCUCCCGCUUUUGUCAUAAAGGAGAGGAAAAGGGGUUGAUGGUUUCGCCUUUUCUUCUCACCUUUAAGUGUGUUUUUUGAGGUGAUAGUGGUUAGAGCUCGAGGGACAAUAUUUCUAAUUCACUGAGGAUGAAAUGGAGUGCACGGACGAAGGACACCUUGGAGCAACAGAACCAAUUGCUCUGCUGACUCUUCUGGGCUCCUCGUUCUGUGAGAACUUAUGCAGCUUCUAACUGGAAGUUUGUAACCUUUGAUCGACAUUUCCCCAUUCUUCCCACCCACUAGUCCCUGGCAAUCAUCAUUCUACACUCUUGUUCCUGU